GAUUGAGAUGUCUUCAAAAUGUUGGACUUCUAGCAAGAGUUCUCUGCCUAAAACUAUGAGGAAACUAAGGCAUAUUUGUCCAAAGUCACACAGUAAGUCGCAGACUAUGGACAUGAACCCAAGCAGUCUGAUUCCAGAGUCUGCUCUUAAUAACCAUUAAGAAUGGAAAGAUGAGAAUGAGAUUGUAAUCCUGCACUUCUACAACCUUCCGGAGGGUUUUCCUAAAGCAACAAAAUCACUGAACUGCGUAUUAUCUUCUUCACCAAAAUAAGUAGAUGAGGUCUGGCAUCUCAAUAAAUAUUAGUGAAGUGCU